rnacentral:rRNA from 1 species
CCUACGGGUGGCAGCAGUGAGGAAUAUUGGUCAAUGGGCGCGAGCCUGAACCAGCCAAGUAGCGUGAAGGAUGACUGCCCUACGGGUUGUAAACUUCUUUUGUCGGGGAACAAAGGCGGAGACGCGUCUCCGGAUGAGUGUACCCGAAGAAAAAGCAUCGGCUAACUCCGUGCCAGCAGCCGCGGUAAUACGGAGGAUGCGAGCGUUAUCCGGUUUUAUUGGGGUUAAAGGGUGCGCAGGCGGGAGAUCAAGUCAGCGGUAAAAGGUCGGGGCUCAAACCCGGCCGGCCGUUGAAACUGGUUUUCUGGAGUUGGAGAGAAGUAUGCGGAAUUCGUGGUGUAGCGGUGAAAUGCAUAGAUAUCACGAAGAACUCCGAUUGCGAAGGCAGCAUACCGGCUCCAUACUGACGCUGAGGCACGAAAGCGUGGGGAUCGAACAGGAUUAGAUACCCCAGUAGUC